ACCCUGUAGAUCCGAAUUUGUGUUAAGAAGAUUGAUGUCACAAAUUCGUAUCUAGGGGAAU
rnacentral:pre_miRNA from 1 species